AUUGAACGCUGGCGGCAUGCCUUACAUAUGCAAGUCGAAUGGUAACAGGUUAAGCUGACGAGUGGCGAACGGGUGAGUAAUGUAUCGGAACGUGCCCAGUCGUGGGGGAUAACUGCUCGAAAGAGCAGCUAAUACCGCAUACGACCUGAGGGUGAAAGCGGGGGAUCGCAAGACCUCGCGCGAUUGGAGCGGCCGAUAUCAGAUUAGGUAGUUGGUGAGGUAAAGGCUCACUAAGCCGACGAUCUGUAGCUGGUCUGAGAGGACGACCAGCCACACUGGGACUGGGACAUGGCCCAGAUGCCUACGGGAGGCAGCAGUGGGGAAUGGUGGACAAUGGGCGCAAGCAUGAUCCAGCCAUGCCGCGUGCGAGAAGAUGGCCUUCGGGUUGUAAACCGCUUUUGUCAGGGAAGAAAAGGUUCUGGCUAAUACCUGGGACUCAUGACGGUACCUGAAGAAUAAGCACCGGCUAACUACGUGCCAGCAGCCGCCGUAA
rnacentral:rRNA from 1 species